GCUGCCAUGAGGUAGUAGUUAACCUACUCCCCUCCCAUUUGAAAAAAAAAAAAAAUUUGGUUAGGGAGAUACCCGGGUGCAAAUCCCGGUGGCAGCA